AUUGAACGCUGGCGGCAUGCCUUACACAUGCAAGUCGAACGGUAACAGGUCUUCGGAUGCUGACGAGUGGCGAACGGGUGAGUAGUACAUCGGAACGUGCCCGAUCGUGGGGGAUAACGGAGCGAAAGCUUUGCUAAUACCGCAUACGAUCUACGGAUGAAAGCAGGGGACCGCAAGGCCUUGCGCGGACGGAGCGGCCGAUGGCAGAUUAGGUAGUUGGUGGGAUAAAAGCUUACCAAGCCGACGAUCUGUAGCUGGUCUGAGAGGACGACCAGCCACACUGGGACUGAGACACGGCCCAGACUCCUACGGGAGGCAGCAGUGGGGAAUUUUGGACAAUGGGCGAAAGCCUGAUCCAGCCAUGCCGCGUGCAGGAUGAAGGCCUUCGGGUUGUAAACUGCUUUUGUACGGAACGAAAAGACUCUUUCUAAUAAAGAGGGUCCAUGACGGUACCGUAAGAAUAAGCACCGGCUAACUACGUG
rnacentral:rRNA from 1 species